AGUGUUUGGUAAGGAAAGAAGAAAGAAAAAGAAAGAGAUGGUAAUAAUAA
rnacentral:sRNA from 1 species